GUGGGGAAUAUUGCACAAUGGGGGAAACCCUGAUGCAGCGACGCCGCGUGGAGGAAGAAGGUCUUCGGAUUGUAAACUCCUGUUGUUGGGGAAGAUAAUGACGGUACCCAACAAGGAAGUGACGGCUAACUACGUGCCAGCAGCCGCGGUAAAACGUAGGGUGCAAGCGUUGUCCGGAAUUACUGGGUGUAAAGGGAGCGCAGGCGGGAAGACAAGUUGGAAGUGAAAACCAUGGGCUCAACCCAUGAAUUGCUUUCAAAACUGUUUUUCUUGAGUAGUGCAGAGGUAGAUGGAAUUCCCGGUGUAGCGGUGGAAUGCGUAGAUAUCGGGAGGAACACCAGUGGCGAAGGCGGUCUACUGGGCACCAACUGACGCUGAGGCUCGAAAGCAUGGGUAGCAAACAGGA
rnacentral:rRNA from 1 species